GACGAACGCUGGCGGCAGGCCUAACACAUGCAAGUCGAACGAGUGGCGGACGGGUGAGUAAUGUCUGGGAAACUCCCUUAUGGAGGGGGAUAACUACUGGAAACGGUAGCUAAUCCCGCAUACCAUCAGAUGUGCCCCGAUGGGAUUAGCUAGUUGGUGGGGUAACGGCUAACCAAGGCCACGAUCCCUAGCUGGUCUGAGAGGAUGACCAGCCAAACUGGAACUGAGAAACGGUCCAGACUCCUACGGGAGGCAGCAGUGGGGAAUAUUGCACAAUGGGCGCAAGCCUGAUGCAGCCAUGCCACGUGUAUGAAGAAGGCCUUCGGGUUGUAAAGUACUUUAAGCGGGGAGGCGUUACCCGCAGAAGAAGCACCGGCUAACUCCGUGCCAGCCGCCGCGGUAAUUC
rnacentral:rRNA from 1 species